CGUCAGUCUUUGUCCAGGGGGCCGCCUUCGCCACCGGUAUUCCUCCAGAUCUCUACGCAUUUCACCGCUACACCUGGAAUUCUACCCCCCUCUACAAGACUCAAGCUUGCCAGUUUCAAAUGCAGUUCCCAGGUUGAGCCCGGGGAUUUCACAUCUGACUUAACAAACCGCCUGCGUGCGCUUUACGCCCAGUAAUUCCGAUUAACGCUUGCACCCUCCGUAUUACCGCGGCUGCUGGCACGGAGUUAGCCGGUGCUUCUUCUGCGAGUAACGUCAAUCGCUAAGGUUAUUAACCUUAACGCCUUCCUCCUCGCUGAAAGUACUUUACAACCCGAAGGCCUUCUUCAUACACGCGGCAUGGCUGCAUCAGGCUUGCGCCCAUUGUGCAAUAUUCCCCACUGCUGCCUCCCGUAGGAGUCUGGACCGUGUCUCAGUUCCAGUGUGGCUGGUCAUCCUCUCAGACCAGCUAGGGAUCGUCGCCUAGGUGAGCCAUUACCCCACCUACUAGCUAAUCCCAUCUGGGCACAUCUGAUGGCAUGAGGCCCGAAGGUCCCCCACUUUGGUCUUGCGACGUUAUGCGGUAUUAGCUACCGUUUCCAGUAGUUAUCCCCCUCCAUCAGGCAGUUUCCCAGACAUUACUCACCCGUCCGCCGCUCGUCACCCGAGAGCAAGCUCUCUGUGC
rnacentral:rRNA from 1 species